UACGUAGGGCGCAAGCGUUAUCCGGAAUUAUUGGGCGUAAAGAGCUCGUAGGCGGUUUGUCGCGUUGUUCGUGAAAACUCACAACUCAAUUGUGGGCGUGCGGGCGAUACGGGCAGACUGGAGUACUGCAGGGGAGACUGGAAUUCCUGGUGUAGCGGUGGAAUGCGCAGAUAUCAGGAGGAACACCGGUGGCGAAGGCGGGUCUCUGGGCAGUAACUGACGCUGAGGAGCGAAAGCGUGGGGAGCGAACAGG
rnacentral:rRNA from 1 species